rnacentral:rRNA from 1 species
GACGAACGCUGGCGGCGUGCCUAAUACAUGCAAGUCGAGCGCAGGAAACUGACGGAACUCUUCGGAGGGAAGGCAGUGGAAUGAGCGGCGGACGGGUGAGUAACACGUAAGGAACCCGCCUCAAGGAUUGGGAUAACUCCGAGAAAUCGGAGCUAAUACCGGAUAGUUCAACGGACCGCAUGGUCCGCUGAUGAAAGGCGCUCCGGCGUCACCUUGAGCUGGCCUUGCGGUGCAUUAGCUAGUUGGUGGGGUAACGGCCCACCAAGGCGACGAUGCAUAGCCGACCUGAGAGGGUGAUCGGCCACACUGGGACUGAGACACGGCCCAGACUCCUACGGGAGGCAGCAGUAGGGAAUCUUCCACAAUGGACGAAAGUCUGAUGGAGCAACGCCGCGUGAGUGAUGAAGGUUUUCGGAUCGUAAAACUCUGUUGUAAGGGAAGAACAUGUACGAGAGGAAAUGCUCGUACCUUGACGGUACCUUACGAGAAGGCCACGGCUAACUACGUGCCAGCCGCCGCGGUAA